UACGGAGGGGGCUAGCGUUGUUCGGAAUUACUGGGCGUAAAGCGUGCGCAGGCGGUUGUGUAAGUCAGAUGUGAAAUCCCCGGGCUCAACCUGGGAAUUGCAUUUGAGACUGCACGGCUAGAGUGUGUCAGAGGGGGGUAGAAUUCCACGUGUAGCAGUGAAAUGCGUAGAGAUGUGGAGGAACACCGAUGGCGAAGGCAGCCUCCUGGGCCAGCACUGACGCUCAUGCACGAAAGCGUGGGGAGCAAACAGG
rnacentral:rRNA from 1 species